rnacentral:lncRNA from 1 species
GUUUUUCUAGAGAUCCUUUAUCCUCUCCCCAACAAACACUUUUGGAGGAGCUUUCAUGUACCAACCUAGUGUCUUCUUAUACAGGUUUCCUGUUAUGGGAUCCACAUAUGAAAAGAUAGAGGCAUGGGUUGAAUGUCCUUGCUGUACACAGAAAAAUAUUCCCAGCCAGAGAAUACAAACAACAGCAUCACAAAUUUAGAGCAUGGAAGAGGCCACCUGACCCAAAUUUUGCUUUGCCAUUCUGCUUGUGGCAGAAGAACAAAGGUUGUUAAAUACUUAAUUACCCGGAUGGUACACAUGGCUGAUGGAUUGACUUGGAUCAACGCAGUUGUAAUUAUUUCACCACAGUGUGGCUGACUAAGAUGGAUACUUGGACUUCACUCAAUGGUUUUCAACAUUCCACCAGAAAUAAACAGAGCACAGACUAUUCUCAAUAUGUUUAUGCAUCACUAACUUAUAUUAGUUUUGGAAACUGUGAAAUUUAUGCCAAUUGUUUGUAAAACAGAGUACAGUUUUGAUUUUUUUUUUCUUGUCCCGCAGCCCAGAAUCAAUAUGUGUACAAUUUCCAUCCUCCUUACAUUACGUACUAUUCCUAAGAGCUGAGGCCAAGAAAUAAAUUGACCUAAUUCUUUUUCUCCAUCAAAAUUGUGGGUUAUCCUGUCCCUUCUACAUGGAUUUUGCAGAAAAAAAUUAAGACAUAAAUCCAGGUCUCAGUUUCUUUGGACAAAUAUACACAGAAUCAAAAGUUUGGCUAAGAGCAAAGCAGGUGAAGACACUGACACAAAAUUUGAAUUCAUAUGCUAAUAUAUUUCUACAAAACCUAGAAAUAGGUGGGCACAUGUAAGCUCCAGCUCCAGUGCAAUGCCUGACUACAGGUUGGCUCAUAGGAACAGUGCUAUACUAAUGACAAUAAAUGUCUCCCAAUCAGGAAUCAGUCAUGUAGAACCAGCUCACGGGUCCAGCAAAUGACAGAGCUAUUGUAUGUGAGCAUUUCUAAAUCCUUGUCUGCAUUUAGUUCUCUUUUAGAAGUACCCUCUAGAAGCAAUGGUAGGGAUACUGGAAAAGACAUGAAAACAUUGAUCUUUGUCCCUCCUUCCCUCCAUGUCUUCCAACCUUUGGUCUGAAAAGGAUGAUGAAAGUCCUGUUACGUUGUGGAUACCGAUGUCUUCACUGUGGCAACCAGCAGGACAGAUGUUACAGUGCUGUUUGAUGGCAGCACAAUUAAAGAAAAUAUUUGACAUGGAUGUGACCACAGAACUACAGCAAGCUGUGAAGUACAGGCUAGAGUUCAUUAAAAAGUCUUUACAUUUU